UUGUAUUUCAUCCCUGUGCAAGAAGUAGGUGUGGAGACACUUCCACACUCCUCAUCUCAUCCUCUACGCAUCACCCAUGCAAGAAUCUGCUUUCUGGAUUUCUCCAUGGAUUUGGCUCUUGAUUCUGCAGUGAGAUCUUUCUGGGGCAAGACACAAGGCAAGGAGCCCCUAUAAAAUCAGCAAGGCUGGAUGUGAAAACAUGAGCACAUCUGUGCAGACUGACAUGCGAGCAGGGUCUUCUGUCAAGAGGAUAAGGGCUCCAGGAAGUCAUGUGGCUACAGAGGUCUUUACAGAAUCUGCCUCCACCUUCUGAAAUUGUGCUCCUGUGAAACUAGACAAGCUCUUCGUUAUGGUACUUUGUGGGAAAGGAAUUCGCAGGUGGCUUCGGCUGUUUCACACGUCCCUGAAUUAGAGAUAAUGAGGAAACAAGCGGUAGAAAGAAAAACUUCAGCAAGGCUGAGAUAAAGUAAAUUGGCUACAGUGUUAAAGAUGAGCUUUGGGCAGUGGCCAAUUGCUGGCUGGCUCGAGGUGCGUGUCUGAGGGUCUCUAAC